rnacentral:lncRNA from 1 species
AAGCAUAUGUAACAUACCAUACCAUAACAUUUGUAUUAUUUACUUAAACAACUUUAAAGGUUUACAAGAGUUAGGACUUAGGAUACAGAAUUUUACCAAGGCAAAGUUACGACUUACAAGACUAUGAAAUGUUUUGAACAGAGCAUCCAAGUUUAUAACUAAAAAGAAACAAAAACAUUCAGUAACAAAAGAUGGGCUAGAUUAUCAAGUGUUCGUCAUCCUUCUGAAUCCUCUUUUGCCUCGCGAUGAAGGCUUCAAUCUUUGUCCUAAACUGUUCGUUGCUCAUUUUA